rnacentral:rRNA from 1 species
ACGGAAGGCAGCAGUGGGGAAUAUUGCACAAUGGGGGAAACCCUGAUGCAGCAACGCCGCGUGAGUGAAGAAGUAUUUCGGUAUGUAAAGCUCUAUCAGCAGGGAAGAUAAUGACGGUACCUGACUAAGAAGCACCGGCUAAAUACGUGCCAGCAGCCGCGGUAAUACGUAUGGUGCAAGCGUUAUCCGGAUUUACUGGGUGUAAAGGGUGCGUAGGUGGUAUGGCAAGUCAGAAGUGAAAACCCGGGGCUCAACCCCGUGGAUUGCUUUUGAAACUGUCAAACUAGAGUACCGGAGAGGUAAGCGGAAUUCCUAGUGUAGCGGUGAAAUGCGUAGAUAUUAGGAGGAACACCAGUGGCGAAGGCGGCUUACUGGACGGUAACUGACACUGAGGCACGAAAGCGUGGGGAGCAAACAGGAUUAGAUACCCUGGUA